rnacentral:tRNA from 1 species
UGGAUGGCGGAAUAGGUAGACGCGUUGGACUUAAAAUCCAAUGUCCGAUGAGGACGUGAGGGUUCGACUCCCUCUCUA